rnacentral:rRNA from 1 species
GGUGCUGCAUGGCUGUCGUCAGCUCGUGUCGUGAGAUGUUGGGUUAAGUCCCGCAACGAGCGCAACCCUUGCCUUUAGUUGCCAGCAGUUCGGCUGGGCACUCUAAAGGGACUGCCGGUGUUAAACCGGAGGAAGGUGGGGAUGACGUCAAGUCCUCAUGGCCUUUAUGACCAGGGCUACACACGUACUACAAUGGCCGAUACAAAGGGCAGCGACACUGCGAGGUGAAGCCAAUCCCGUAAAAUCGGUCUCAGUCCGGAUUGGAGUCUGCAACUCGACUCCAUGAAGUUGGAAUCGCUAGUAAUCGUGGAUCAGCAUGCCACGGUGAAUACGUUCCCGGGCCUU